rnacentral:lncRNA from 1 species
CUAUAACUUCUAUUCAAGCAGUUUAUGUACCUGCAGACGAUUUAACCGACCCCGCCCCUGCUACGACAUUUGCACAUUUAGAUGCUACUACCGUACUAUCAAGAGGAUUAGCUGCCAAAGGUAUCUAUCCCGCAGUAGAUCCUUUAGAUUCAACAUCAACCAUGCUUCAACCUCGGAUUGUUGGUGAGGAACAUUAUGAAACUGCGCAAAGGGUUAAGCAAACUUUACAACGUUAUAAAGAACUCCAGGAUAUUAUAGCUAUCCUCGAGUUAGAUGAAUUAUCCAAAGAGGAUCGUUUAACCGUAGCACGAGCACGAAAAAUUGAGUGUUUCUUAUCACAACCCUUUUUCGUAGCAGAAGUAUUUACCGGUUCUCCAGGAAAAUAUGUUGGUCUAGCAGAAACAAUUAGAGGAUUUCAAUUGAUCCUUUCCGGAGAAUUAGAUAGUCUUCCUGAACAGGCUUUUUAUUUGGUAGGCAAUAUCGAUGAAGCUACCGCGAAGGCUAUGAACUUAGAAAUGGAGAACAAUUUGAAGAAAUGACCUUAAAUCUUUGUGUACUAACGCCUAAUCGAAUUGUUUGGGAUUCAGAAGUAAAAGAAAUAAUUUUACCUACUAAUAGUGGUCAAAUUGGCGUAUUACCCAACCAUGCCCCUAUUGCCACAGCUGUAGAUAUAGGUAUUUUGAGAAUACGCCUUAAUGGCCAAUGGUUAACGAUGGCUCUUAUGGGUGGUUUUGUUAAAAUAGGCAGUAAUGAAAUCAUUGUUUUAGUAAAUGAUGCAGAGAAGGGUAGUGACAUUGAUCCACAAGAAGCUCAGCUGUGAGAACCCGUAAAAACCCUAAUUAUUUUCCUAGGGUUUCUUAUUCCCUUAAUUGUAUGUUUUCUGCAUUUUCUGGCUUAGAAAUAUUUUCCUGGUGAAUUUUAUGAGCACUUAUGGUUUUUAGUUAAUUUUUCUAGUAUUGGAGAAUUUUUAGAAAAUUAAGAAUAUAUAUUGGACGUGGGACCCACUAGUGCGAAAGGUUCGGAAAAAUUCGGCCAAUAAGGUUAAGUUUCGGAUACUGUGAAAAAUUUAUCGGGUGUUAAGAGAUAAGUAGUGUGUGUGAAGUGAUUGAUGUGAGAGAGAAAAGAAAGAUAAGAGGGCAUUAAAUGAGUGUGACAAGUGUCACAAUCUCAUUGGUUGGACUUUAAGAAUUACUAUUCACUUUCUUGACUUUUUUGACCAAAGGAUUAAAUAUCAAAAAAUUCACAAAAUUUCCUCAUUUUUCUUUCUCCUUGGCCGGCUCUCUCUCACUCUCUUGCAAGAAGAAGAACUCUUCAAUCUUCAAGCUUUCUACUAGCAAAUCAUCUAAAUCAACCAAAUAAACAAGAUUCCACUCCAUAAAAUCCUACCUUCUAGUGCUAGUAAGGGUUGUAGUGAAGUUGUUUUGAAGAGCAAAGGUGUCCACAAUCUCUCUUUCCCUUGUUUCUUGGUAAGUGAUGCUACAACCUCUUCCCUACACCUAAUGAUGGUUAUAUUAUGCUUAGAAGUGGCUAAAGUGAUGGAUUAUAUGAUUUAUUUCUUGGUUUGGCUUGAUUUGGUGAAGUUUUCCAUUUUAUGAUGAAUUUUCUGGUUUCAUAUGAUCUUGAUGGUGUGGUUGUUUUUGAUGGUUUGAAAUAAGGGGCUUUGACUCUAGUGGGUGUGAAUUGUUGUUAAAUGCAACCAAUUUUGGAAUUUGAAUGAAAUGUGCAAAGUUAGGGUUCAUGAACCCCUAUUCUGUCCGAAAUUUGAGGUCAUAGAUAGAGGCCGAAUUGGACUUUUCUCAAAACAUGAAAGUUGUAGGUAUUGAUGAUUUUAGUGUGCCUCCAAAAUUUCAGGGCAAUUGGACUAGUGUAGAGUGAGUUAUGCCGUUUUUACUGUUGCUGUUUUUGGUGCACAGAAUGUCCGAACUGCGAUAGUAAUUGCCUGUUUUGACUGGAAUUGGUUUGGAUUUUGAAGUUGGCGUCUUCUGAGGAAAUGUAGCUGGAUGUCUUAGCUAACUUAUACCUUUGGAAUUUUGGCAUUUGGACCUGUGUAGGCUGCGAUUGAUGUAUUACAGUUUUGUGUGUUUUGCAAACCUGUUUUGGUAAUUCUGGUUUGGUAUUUGGCACUUUUGACCUAGUUGUGCUAGGAUUUGGACUGAUAGGCCUUCUACAUUGUUGUAGCUCUGUUUCUUGGCUUCGAAAUGGUGGGUCUUACACCCCCAUCCGACAUUUGUAGUGAGAGUUGUGCCAUUACCGCAUUAUGAGGUCAAAUCCGGUUUUCUUAUCAAGGCUUAGGUUAAAGCCCUUUCUUAAUUUCUGGUUUGCUUUCAUGCUUGUAUAUGUUUAUAAAACCCUAUUGGGGUUGUGAAUUGGUGUUGUUUAUGGCUCGGUAUGGUUUCUUGUUUUAUGAUAUUGUGAGCCUAUGGAACGGCUCUUGACAUGAAAUGCUUAUAUGUGUGUUGUUGGGUUGUGAUUGAAGAAAAAUAAUGAAGCCUUAUGGCUGGAAAAUUUGGUAAACACAAAGGGCAUGCUGCCCGAAUUUUUACUCGAGAUUUAGAAAACUAUAUUCUCGACUUGAGUAAAGGUUAAGUAUUUAACACUUGAAUUUCCAUGCAUGAAACCCUAUUGGGCGAUAAUUGGUUUGACUUUAUGACUCGUUAUCGAGUCUUAUAGUAUUUGUUCACAUGUUCUAGGGCGUGACGAUAGCUCACGACGUCUUGGUGAUCGUGGUGCAUGAAAUACCACUUUCUUGCUUGGUGAGUAUACUACUCACUUACUUGUUAUAAUGUGGCUUUGUGCUAUGUGUAUUGAUGCCUUGAAGGCUUAAUUGGUUAUUGGAAAUGAUUGAGGUGAGGGUGUACUUGACCGCCCUCACCCCUUGUGAUUCCAUGCAUAGCUAGUGCUUGCAUUACUGAAUUACUGCACUUGAUAUAUGAAAUACUGAAUUCCCUUCAUGGAAACUGAUUUGGUAUCAUUUGGGCGAAUGUCCAAUGGCUUUACUGUAUCACUGAGCUCAACCCCGUUUGGUAGUCAAUUGGAUCGAGCCGGCGAGGGCUUGGUCGUGAAAAUUGUCAUGCCACGGGGACUGUACUGUGGAAUCUUGUGGUAAUGAGACCUUUGGUUCCGGUAUACUCGAGUAUUACCAAAAUGACUGAUUGGAGUGCGGGCCCGGUUGGGGUAUGUAUGGUGGAAUGAAUGGAGUGAAGUGAGGUCUACGGUCGGGUAUUCUUAAACAUUGACGGAGGGUCAAUGAGAUUGGAUCAAGAAUGUAAGCGUGGAAAUGGGCUCUUGAGAGCCAUCCGUAUCCUUUUACCGACUUGUUUUUAAUUCUUAAUUGUGUACUCGAAAUGAAAGAUUAUGCUUAUAUGAUCCUUGUGCUUAUGUGGUAGGAACUCACUGGGCUUAAGCUCAUUCCGUUCCAUUUGUUUUCCUUACAGGAAAAUGACUAUUUUGGGAAAGGUUGUGCUAGUUGGUUGCCAAGUUGAGCAUGUAAAUGUAUUUUUGAAUAGCUCCUUGCGAGUGAAAACCCUAAGUGUUUUGUUUCCCACCAAUGGUUGGUUUGUAAUUGGCUAUUUGCACAUGUAUGGACUAGUUGAAUAUUUUGGUAUGCCGUUUGGCUUGUAAACGUUGUAUUUCAAUGUACAUAUGUUUGGAUGAUGUUUGGUUGAUGUUUGGUUGAAUUUCGGAUCAACUUGUAUUUCAAACGGCAAAAGAAAAUUUUGGCUACUCUCGGCCUAGUAUCUGGAUUCUGACGUGUCCAACACUGUUCAUCUUCGGCUUUGAAUUUCAUUUUUAUUUAUUUUGUGAUUUUGACAUAUUUGCGCACGUUGGUAUGUUCCGGAACGUAAUAGAUCGACGUAAACUGAUCCGUUAGUCCUGGCGAGAGCUGGGCAGGCAGUCCGCUAACCCCUUUGGUUCGCCUUAGGGGAAAGUGGGGCUGUUACAUCAGCAAACUCUUGAAAUAGCGGAAGCUAAUUUGAAAAAAGCUGAAGGAAAGAGACAAACAAUUGAAGCAAAUCUAGCUCUCCGGUGAGCUAGGACACGGGUAGAGGCUAUCAAUGCGGUUUGAUUUCAUAACUAGUUGAUACGUUCGAAUAAUCCUGUUUCAAAUUCUAUUUGAAUUUGAUUCUGUCGAGUGAAUAGAAUCAAAUAAAUCAAGCAAAAUCCAAUUUUGAUGUAAAUAAAAGAAAUUCAAAAAUGAAAUAGCAAAA